CAGUAGCCGCGGUAAUGCGGAGGGGGCUAGCGUUGUUCGGAAUUACUGGGCGUAAAGCGCACGUAGGCGGCUUGGUAAGUUAGAGGUGAAAGCCUGGAGCUCAACUCCAGAAUUGCCUUUAAGACUGCCGAGCUAGCAGGUGAGAGAGGUAAGUGGAAUUCCGAGUGUAGAGGUGAAAUUCGUAGAUAUUCGGAAGAACACCAGUGGCGAAGGCGGCUUACUGGCUCAUACUGGACGCUGAGGUGCGAAAGCGUGGGGAGCAAACAGGAUUAGAGACCCCCGUAGUCCCUGUCUCUUAUAC
rnacentral:rRNA from 1 species